GACGAACGCUGGCGGCGUGCUUAACACAUGCAAGUCGAACGGAAAGGCCCUGCUUUUGUGGGGUGCUCGAGUGGCGAACGGGUGAGUAACACGUGAGUAACCUGCCCUUGACUUUGGGAUAACUUCAGGAAACUGGGGCGAAUACCGGAUAGGAGCUCCUGCUGCAUGGUGGGGGUUGGAAAGUUUCGGCGGUUGGGGAUGGACUCGCGGCUUAUCAGCUGGUUGGUGGGGUAGUGGCUUACCAAGGCUUUGACGGGUAGCCGGCCUGAGAGGGUGACCGGCCACAUUGGGACUGAGAUACGGCCCAGACUCCUACGGGAGGCAGCAGUGGGGAAUAUUGCACAAUGGGCGGAAGCCUGAUGCAGCAACGCCGCGUGCGGGAUGACGGCCUUCGGGUUGUAAACCGCUUUCGCCUGUGACGAAGCGUGAGUGACGGUAAUGGGUAAAGAAGCACCGGCUAACUACGUG
rnacentral:rRNA from 1 species